rfam:Stegodyphus mimosarum contig107418, whole genome shotgun sequence.
GCUUUCGUGGUGUAACGGAAGCACACUCGACCCGUAUUCGAGAGGUCUAGGUUCGAGUCUGGACGAGGGCA